CGGGUGAGUAACACGUGGAUAACCUACCUAUAAGACUGGGAUAACUUCUGGAAACCGGAGCUAAUACCGGAUAAUAUUUUGAACCGCAUGGUUCAAAGUUAAAGACGGUCUUGCUGUCACUUAUAGAUGGAUCCGCGCUGCAUUAGCUAGUUGGUAAGGUAACGGCUUACCAAGGCAACGAUGCAUAGCCGACCUGAGAGGGUGAUCGGCCACACUGGAACUGAGACACGGUCCAG
rnacentral:rRNA from 1 species